UCCUUCUCUAAAUACUUCCUCUACAUGGAGAUAACAAGUAGGGGCAAUGCAUUAACUGUGCAUGACUUGGCCAUGUCAUGACAAAAACAUGCAAAAAUAAAACAGACUGUAUGUGACAGCUUCGUGAGGGAAAAACAGCUUGAAGUUUAUUUCCAACUAUUCACAAGAUAUACAAACUGGCAUCUCUUCCUUCAGCAAGAAUAUUCUUUUCUUAUCCUUAUAUGUUCCUCAGUUGCCCUGUGUCAGGAUUCCAUCAAUAUCCCCUUUCCUCGGUCCUAAUUUCAUCUGGCGGAUUCCCCAGAAGAUCAUUUUAAAGGUGGCGAGAAGAAAAGCUUGGACGCCAUUAUUGUCCAACACCCACAAGUCUUUUGUUCAACCUUCAAAGAAUGAUUCUCCUAAUGAAUAGCACAAGGAAUAUAUAACAGGAAGAAAUAUAGGUAUAAAAUCUACUAUCCAAGUGGCUUGGGAGACUGCACAAUUACACCACUAAAAUGGAAAGCUCAGAGUGAACCAGUGAGCAGUUACGCCAGUACCCUCAAAAAGCAGGACAUACUGAAUUGCUGUCUUUUUUGCAUUAGCGAAUAAAAUAAAUAAAAAAAAACUAUAAGUUCUACGACAUUACAAAAACGUGUC